AGAGCACCGAGGGGGAGCCAGCAGUGAGUGCACUGGGGAGCUCCACACACGCGGCUCCGCAGCUUUGCGCGCCCCUCUACCGCGAGCGGCUGAGUAUCCGCCUGGCUCCCCUGCGGGGUUCCUCCGUGGUCUUCCGGAGAUUCUUUCUGAAGCAGCUUUAGAAUAGUCAAACCUAUUUUUCUACUCCAUUUCUUUUUGUAAUGUGGGGUCACCUUUCCGCUCUAGAAAUUGCUUUUCUUACGGGAUUCCCACCCCAACUCUCGCCAAGGGCCCUGGUUCUCACCUCCCCAGUCUUAGCUUCUGACAAGCCUCCAAGAAACUGCGCUUUUUUCUUUUCUGGAGAUGCAGAGUAUGAAAAUGAUUUUGCAAGACUUUUCCAGGUCAUGAGGUGCUCUCUGAGAAAUCUCUUCUGUUCCCUAAAGUA
rnacentral:antisense_RNA from 1 species